UACGGGGGGAGCAAGCGUUGUUCGGAUUUACUGGGCGUAAAGGGCGCGUAGGCGGCCACCGCAAGUCGACUGUGAAAUCUCCGGGCUUAACCCGGAAAGGUCAGCCGAUACUGCGGGGCUAGAGUGCAGAAGGGGCAACUGGGAAUUCUCGGUGUAGCGGUGAAAUGCGUAGAUAUCGAGAGGAACACCGGUGGCGAAGGCGGCAUCCUGGACCAACACUGACACUGAGGAGCGAAAGCCAGGGGAGCAAACAGG
rnacentral:rRNA from 1 species